CUCUUCUUAAGACUGCACAAGGCCACCCCAUGAUAAGGGAUCAAGUAUAUCCUAUAGUAUUCGUUACAUUUAUCUGAAAUUUCUGUUGUUGUGGACUUUGUUUUACCACUCUUGUGUUGUGGAUGCAGCUUGUAAUUCAUGGGUGAUUGUAUGUUGUAACAGUUGUUGAUGCAGCUUGUAAUUCAAAAGAGAAGCUGAAAUCAAUAGUAUAACUUCGAAAAUUUAAUUCAAUUUCAAGGUCAUUGAUGGGCCUGAACAACUCUUUGAUGAAGAUGCAGCGAAGUAACAAGCUUUAGGCGUGGAUUUCUUGCAAACAUUAAUGACUCUCCUUGUGUUUGCAUCGGUUGCAAUAUCUAAUGUGAUUGUUGUGGCUUGCUUCUAUCAGAUGCAAACAACUUAAGUUCAUUGGAUCCUUAUGGCAUUGCCAGAUGGAAUUUCUUGCUUUUUCAAUGCACUGUUCCUGGCUUUCCCUAUCAAGGGCCAUGGACUUGGCUUCCCUCUCAUAGUAAAUUAGCAUGUCAUUAUCGAGGGACAUUAUUAAUAAUCAAGGGAAAUACGCGCAAUUACGGGCUAGAAUCCAUCAAACUGAGCAAGACUAGCAUUCCAAGGUUGAGCAUGGCCUGGACUCCGGCCAUGCUGAACCAUCAAAUAGUUGCCCUUCAAGAGUGCCAUUUUGGCACGGUUUCCGAAGCCACCACGACCCGUGGUGGCUCAGCACCGGCUAGGGCACGGCCUGGAAGAAUUCGCAAGUUGCGGAAUGCAGAGGUCCAGCGUGGCCUGGACUCCGCCCGUGCUGAAGGAAUUAUAUAAGGCAAAAACGAUUUGCUGAAUUAAGCCGUCCACCACGGCUUUCGAGGCUACCAUAGGCUGCAUCACCAGGCCGUGCCGGUCACCACGCCCAUGCCCGAGCCCGUGAUGGAGAUGCAUGUAAAGCACAAGGUAAAUUCAGUCGUCCACCACGGCUUCCGAAGGCACCACGGGCAGCAACACCAGGCUGUGUUGACCAGCACGGCCAUGCCCUCACCCGUGACGGAUGGGCGCCAGAAUGAAGCUUCAGGGUUCAGCAUAGGCCGAGUUCUAGCCGUGCUGACCAGCACUGCCUUACCCUCGCCCGUGCUGACCUUCAUGACUAUAAAAGGAGGCCUUUUCAAAAUUUUCCUAUCUUUCCCUCUCUAAGCUCCAAGGUGCUGUUUUCUUCAUUGUCUCUAAUUUUUCUUACCUGUCUCCGCAACUUCAAGUAAGUCUCUUUGCCUUUUGCUUUUAUUUGAUUAAAUUUGAUUUUUCUUUUAUGCAUUCAUUUUCUUUAGGACAUUUCGACAUGCUUUGGUAGUUUACUUUGUUACAUUGUUUCAAUUUGACUUCGAUUAAGAUUUAGUUAAAACUAGUUGCUAUGUUUAUAUGAAUUCGACUAACGAAAUGAUAAGUGUGGGGUUUGGCAGCAAUAAAAUUUAUUUAUGGCAUUUUAUUAUGAACAAUUGUUAGCAUAAAUUUGCUUUAUUUGGUGCACGAUAAAGUAGGGUAGAAUGUAAUUGUGAAUUAGUUUUAUGUAGGAGAUUGAGGCUUUAAUCUUAGUGUUAAUUCUAAAGUUUUCUAUUAGUCGAAUUAUAGUCGUUAUGCUGUUUAAUUUUUCGGUAUAAUUUAUGAUUAACUUGAUUUCAUGUUCGAAUACUAAUGAUUCAUUGCAUUAAGUAAUAUGAGGGACCGCGAUCAAUCACAUCGAAAGCAACCGUAACGCGUCGCUACCAGCAAGCGCCUGCGUGGCGAAGGAACAUCUUCCUCCACUUCACCUUCAUCAGCACUAGUACCAUCACCUCCACCGCAACAGCAACUAGUUCGAGUACAAAGAGCACCAGCUACGAAUCCACCCGCACCUGGUCGUCAUCCAUUAUGGACAUUUCCGAAUGCAGAUAACGAGAGCCGGUUUCAAGUUAUGAGAUAGAAGCAAGUGAUGGCUAGACAUUGCAUCAACUUCGUAUCCCUGGAAAGAGUAGGGUUGGCUCAGGAUGUGUGUGCCUUGUUUGAAACUCUGCCAUACGCACGAUUCUUCGAUAUUAUUGAGUCAACCUACCGCGAGCUUAUAAUUGAAUUCCUCAGCACCUUUCUACAACAACAGAUCACAAACUGGCAUCAGCUUGAUGCAGUUUAUUUCAGACUUAGGGGAAGGGAGUUCUCAAUAUCAGUUCCACAAUUCGGCAUGCAUUUGAGAUUAUGGACUGAGCAGGAGAUCUCGGGUGAAGAAUAUCAGGGAUGCAUCUACAUCAACCCAAUCUCGUACGACACCAUGUGGGAUUCAUGCCGGAAUCAUACUACCUCAGCAGGUCUAAGGCGUCUAGCCUUCCGGAUCAUCUCCGCUAUCUCCAUACUUUAUUAGCUUACACGAUUAUAGGUAGGGAAGAUAGUUUUGGAGCGGUAACACAGACCGAUGUCUUCAUCCUUUGGGCUAUACAACAUCGCAAGAAGCUUGACUUGGGAUAUCUGUUGGCUCGUCAAAGCCGUUCAUUUAUAGUAAACGCCCAGAAGAAGAUGUACUGCUGUUUUGGCCCGUAUGUCAUUAGGUUAGCCAAGAGACUGGAUGUAUUGGAUGACUGUCUGUCAGAGCUUUCACAGAUUGGUGAUAUGAUACCACUAGGGAUUAGACAGAUGAUCAACAGUGUAGAUGAUCAUAGCUACUCGACACCCACAUGGCAUAAAGUACAGGCUCGUAAACGCAAUAGUCAGGGAGGCUAGAGAUGUAGCAGCUAGAGGAGCCCAAGACCCGACGGUUGAGAUUCCAGAUGUUAGGAUUCCUAACCCAGCCAGAGUGUUUAUGCCUACAUUUGGAGCUUCAUCUUUUUAUUCUGCAAGGACAUCGAGUGCCCAGAUUAGUGCUUUGGCUGACCGACUAGAUCGAGUCUGCGAUUUAUAGCAGCAACACUAUACUGAGUUUGCGCAACAGAGAAAAGAGUUUGGGCAGUUUCAAGAGGAGAAUAGGGCCCAGUUUCAAGGUUUAAACGAUAUGCUCCAGCAGCUUAUGUAUGGGCUGGAGAGGCAGGCCACCCAGACAGACCUAAUGGCAGAGCAGAUUAAAAAGAUGAUGGAGACCGGAGCACAAAAUCAGUGGUUCAUCGAUGAAAUGGAGUUCGAUCUUGCAGGAUGCUUCACGAAUCCUGUGCCACCACCACCGCCCCCUCCUUCAGUGACUUCCCCUACUCCUCAUCCUCCAGCAGAUCCGGCCAGUGAGGAUGCACCUUCGGCAAACUACCAGUAGUGAAAGAAAAAUUUGUGCUAUUUUUCUUUUUCCUUUUCCUUUAUAUUUUCCUUCUUUAUUUUAUUUUAUUUUAUUUUAUUUUUGCAUUUUCAAUUUUAUGUUAUUUUCUUUCAUUGUUAAUUUAUUUUAAUAUAACACUUUGUUUUGCCAUCUUGAUAUGUACAUUUAGUAUGAUCUUCAAUGAUUAUGAUGUGCUAGUUAUGUGCUAUGCCCAGUUUUAAUUUUUCUAACACUGUGGACAGUGUUAUACUUAAGUGUGAGUUAGGUAUCUGUGGCUAUAUCCCUUAAUUGUUUAAAGGCAAUGAUAAUGGACUAUUCUGAGGAUGUUAGGACCUAGGGUUUUCAUGACAUUCAAAUUUAUUUUAUUCUUUCGUAAUUAAUGACUUAAUCACACACUAGUACUUGAUUGUCCUUCUCUAUCUUUUGUUCUUGAAAGCAAUUUCACUGUAUUCAAUAUAUCAAUUUGGCCGAGUUAAACUGGUGUUACUUGAGUUCCUUGCAAAUUUACAACCUUUGACUGUGAACUUUGAUUAUGUCAAUCUCAUAUUCAAUUUAUGUGAUGAUUCAAUUGAUAAGUCUGGGAACCAAUUGUAAAUUUUAACCACUUCAAACGUGAGUUUUUGAA